UUUGAUUAUAAUUUAAAGUCUGGCCUGCCCAAUGAGGAGUUAAAUGGCCGCGGUAAUUUGACCGUGCAAAGGUAGCAUAAUCAUUAGUUUUUUAAUUGAAAGCUGGUAUGAAUGGUUGGACGAGAGAGCAGCUGUCUCAAUUUAAUUUUAUUAGAAUUUUAUUUUUAAGUUAAAAAGCUUAAAUAAAUUUAAAAGACGAGAAGACCCUAUAGAGUUUUAUAUAUUAUAUUAUAUUAGAUUAUUGGUAUUAGUAGAUUAAUAUAGUGUUAUGUAUUUUGUUGGGGCGACAGAAAAAUUGAAUAAACUUUUUUUAAAGUUAAAUCAUUAAUUUAUGAUUAAAUGAUCCGUAUUUUACGAUUACAAGAUUAAAUUACCUUAGGGAUAACAGCGUAAUUUUUUUUUAGAGUUCUAAUCGAAAGAAAAGUUUGCGACCUCGAUGUUGGAUUAAAAUUAAUUUUUGGUGCAGUAGCUAAAAAAUUAGGUCUGUUCGACCUUUGAAAUU
rnacentral:rRNA from 1 species